UCUGUUCCAUAAAUCAUGGCUACAUACCAAAUCAGGAGCACCCAGAAACCGAUCACGUUUUCCCACUCAGAGAUCGAAGCAACUCAUUCAACUCAGCAACGGAGAUUCUGAAGAGGAUCACCACAGUAGCAACAACAGCUGCAGUUAUAGUGUGGUGCAAGGGAAACCGCGUCAGAGCAAGGUCGAUUCCGGUGGAGAUGUUUCCUCCGUCGCAGAAACCACCGUGGACUCCCAAGAUGAAAGCUUUGCUACCACCACCGAGAGGUACUGUGUGUAAAAGAUUUGUAUAGCGUUACAGAGCCUGUUCCUACAGCGAAAGCCAAGAAGAAAAGGAGCGUUGAUCAAAAAAGGAGUUUGUUCUCAGUUUUUAGCUGUUACUAAGGAUUAUAGAACACUGCUUCUUUUGAGUGCUAUCAGAGAUUCACCCAUGUAAUCUAUUCUUCUGCUCUUUCACAGUUUCUACGAUUUGGGUUCGUCAAGGAGCGCUGAUGAACAGGAUUGGAUUCAAUGUGAAGAACCUAAAUCGCCCAACAAUCCCCAAUCGCAACUUCUGAGCAAAUUUCCCUAAAUUAAUCCCAAAUUAUCCUAAUUUCAUCUUUUAAUUUAAUCCUAAAUAUUUUAAUUUACACGUCACAAUUUUUUAUUUUUUUAAAACACAUAACAAUGCCACAUCAUCAAAUAAUAGCCACCUGGCAGCUCUGCCGUUAACAAAGUUAAUGUCGUUACCAAAAAGGACCUAUUUGUUCAGUUUUUGCAAAAGCUGAGACGUAAGUGAAUUUUUUAAAAAAGGAAGGACCACUUUGAACAAACCCUCCCAAAGGAGGGACCAAAAUAGGUAUUAAACCAUAAAUUUUUUUAAUAACUUGAAACUUAAUUAAGUAUUUAAAAUUUUACAGAAAAAAUACAAAAACGGUAUAAAACAGUCUUUUUUUUUAUUAAAAAUUGCGGUCAACAAAUUAACGUACAGUCAAACGUAUAUUGAUAAACCGAACCUCUUAUGAGGUAGACCACUCAUCUACAUAAUACAUCCAUUAACACACAACAGAGACACCCAUCACCCUUUUUCUUGUCUCACCAUCUUAUUAAUAUCUUCAUCACUCUCUUUACUCAUUAAUUAUUAUACUCAGAACCAACAAACACUUUCCUCCAUAAUUUCCCACCAAACUCACCUCUAUCUCUAUUUUCUUCUAUUAUAAUUAUUACCAAAAAUAUCAACUAAUUAAAAAUUCUCUUCAAAACUACUAUUAAACUUUUUAUGAUAAAUUCACUCUCAUUUUCACAAUAAUUAAGUUGAUUUUAAUCAUGUAUCAUAUGUUGCUCUCUCUGUCACACUCUAUCUAUAUUUAUACCUCAGUAUUGGGUUUAACAAGAGAAAGUGUUUAACAAGAGAAAGUGUUUGUAGUGACCUAGCAAAGAAAAGAAAAUGGAUCACAAAAACUAUGAAUCAUCAUCAAUUUCUUCAACUUCUAUGAGAGAUCAGUAUCUGAAACAACUCAACAAGCUUUCACAUAACAUUUCCAAACCCAACGUUAAGAAACCCACCUUCGAUUCUCUCCCCGAUUCUCAGCCACAGGUGUACAACAUCAGCAAGAACGAUUUCAGGGACAUGGUCCAAAAGCUUACCGGUUCGCCCGGUCACAGCCACCAACCCAAACCGCUUGCAACCUCUCGCCUCCACCGCCUCCGCCCGCCGCCGCUUCCGCAAGUUCUCAGCCACCGUCCGCCGCCUCACCCCGUCGCCGCAGCGCCUCCCUCGCCUCUACCGCCGUUUCCCAGUGUCCACGCGGAGUCCCCUGUCUCGGCGUACAUGCGGUUUCUGCGGAACUCGAUGCCGUCGUCUUCUUCGCAGUCGGAGUUUCAGAUACCGGCUUCGCCGGUAAGUUUCGGAUGCUUGAAUUCGGUUUCCUUUGUUCCUCUGUCACCGACUAUGCCGGUUUCCAGCAGAGAUCCUUGAGACUUGUGUUUGUUGUGGUGAGUUACCGUAGUUUAAUAAAAUUUGUAAUUUCGUUAGAUUUCUAAGAAGGAACGGUUGGACUUAAAAGUAGUAAUUUAUUGGGGGAAAGAGUUAAAUUGAGGAUUAUUUUUAUAUUAAAGCAUGAUUUAGCUUAGAUUAAUGAGCUAAUCUUGCUUAAAAAGUUAUGAAGAUGACAAUUUAUAAAUAAAAUUUAGUCUUUUUAACUAUCAAAACCUAUUCAUCGAUACAUAUUAAUAUGACAUGAAAUGAUUGCGUAUUACUUGAUUAAGAAACACAAUACAUUACCAUUUUUGUCAUGUGAUAUUAGUUAAAGAUGAUUAUUUGUAUUACGACAUUAAGGUAUUUACAAUUUUUAGGUAUUUUCUUGCCG
rnacentral:lncRNA from 1 species